AGAGAGAGACAUGCGCGCAUAUCAAUAAGCGGAGGAAAAGAAACUAACAAGGAUUCCCCUAGUAACGGCGAGUGAAGCGGGAAGAGCUCAAAUUUGAAAUCUUAAAGGGUUUCCCUUUACGAAUUGUAGUUUAAAGAAGUGUUUUCUGUUGAGGUUUUGGUAAAAGUUCUUUGGAAUAGGACAUCAUAGAGGGUGAGAAUCCCGUAUUUGACCUUUACUUUCAACUUUGUGAUACACUUUCAAAGAGUCGGAUUGUUUGGGAAUGCAGUCCAAAAUGGGUGGUAAAUUUCAUCUAAAGCUAAAUAUUGGCGAGAGACCGAUAGCGAACAAGUACCGUGAGGGAAAGAUGAAAAGAACUUUGAAAAGAGAGUUAAACAGUACGUGAAAUUGUCAAAAGGGAAGCGUUUGACACCAGUGUUGUUUUUCUGAAAAUCAAUUAAAGAACUGUUUAUGCUAAGCUGUUUAGACUUUAUCAGCUAACUGUUUAGUUUUGAGCUUUUCUUUAAUGCACUUUUCAGUUAACAAGUCAACAUCAAUUUCUUUUGCUGUAAAAAAGCUUGAGGAAGGUGGCUUGAGAUUCGUCUUAAGUGUUUAUAGCCUCUUGCCUAUGCAGUCGGAGAGAUUGAGGUCUGCUAGCGUAGAUCCUUUGGGGCUAAAUGCAUUUGUGCUAAGUUAUAGCAUUCUAUAGACAACUUGUUGACUAUGAUUUGUCUUGUAGCUUACUCGCUUAUGUUAUUUUACCUACGCUUAGGAUGUUGAGCGCAUGUCUCUCUCU
rnacentral:rRNA from 1 species